ACUUCCACUGUGAAAUCAGUCCCGCACCAGGUGGACAGAGCUUGUCUCCCACUGCGAUCCUGCACGAGCUCUUCUGCUGGUGUCCAUAAAUAAGCCAGAUCACCUCAAAAGAGCAACUUCAUCUCCAGCUCUGGUCCAGCAUGAGAAAGCAGAAUCUGAGAGGCGAACUGAGUAUCUCAAGUGGACAUACUAUGCAGACCAGUGAAGAAGUAGUAAGCCUGGAGUCGGCCAGCAUCCAGACCACACACCGGGGCCAUGGCACUGACCCCUGCUUCCCUCAUGGACAAGCUCAGGAGCUACAUCUAUGCUGUGCAAUUCUGUGGACUCACUGCGGUUCUUUGAACUGAUGGCGGCUGCAUGCUCUGAGACACACUUGAGAGGCUUCUCAAGACCCCAGUUUGCACAGACUGUGUCUCUCCAAAUAUAACAGAUGUGAUCCACUCCAAGCAAAAAGUUCCGAAGCUCAGAGAACAAUGGGAAGAUGACAGUGAUGCGUCCGGAUUUCUUAUUUCUGUCAACACUUACUGGAUUCUUUUCUCUUCUCACGGGAAUAAAGAGAAUGCAGCAAAAGUAA
rnacentral:lncRNA from 1 species